AGCAGCAGCCACGGGAAUACGUAGGGUGCGAGCGUUAAUCGGAAUUACUGGGCGUAAAGCGUGCGCAGCGGUUCGUUAAGACAGAUGUGAAAUCCCCGGGCUUAACCUGGGAACUGCAUUUGUGACUGACGAGCUAGAGUAUGGCAGAGGGGGGUAGAAUUCCACGUGUAGCAGUGAAAUGCGUAGAGAUGUGGAGGAGUACAGAUGGCGAAGGCAGCCCCCUGGGCCAAUACUGACGCUCAUGCACGAAAGCGUGGGGAGCAAACAGGAUUAGAUACCCCGGUAGUCCCUGUCUCUUAUACA
rnacentral:rRNA from 1 species